GGGGACAACCCGCCGAAAGGCGGGCUAAACCCGCGUACAUGCCACCGGGGCAUCCCGGAGGCAGGAAAGGCUUCGGCCGGACAGGGAUGGGCACGCGGCGCAUUAGGCAGUAGGCGGGGUAACGGCCCACCUAACCGACGAUGCGUAGGGGUUCUGAGAGGAAGGUCCCCCACACUGGUACUGAGACACGGACCAGACUCCUACGGGAGGCAGCAGUGAGGAAUAUUGGUCAAUGGUCGGGAGACUGAACCAGCCAAGCCGCGUGAGGGAUGAAGGUACAGAGUAUCGUAAACCUCUUUUGUCAGGGAACAAAGGCGGGGACGUGUCCCCGGAUGAGUGUACCUGAAGAAAAAGCAUCGGCUAACUCCGUGCCAGCAGCCGCGGUAAUACGGAGGAUGCGAGCGUUAUCCGGAUUUAUUGGGUUUAAAGGGUGCGCAGGCGGUCUGUUAAGUCAGCGGUCAAAGCCCGGGGCUCAACCCCGGCCCGCCGUUGAAACUGGCAGUCUCGAGUUGGAGAGAAGUAUGCGGAAUGCGCGGUGUAGCGGUGAAAUGCAUAGAUAUCGCGCAGAACUCCGAUUGCGAAGGCAGCAUGCCGGCUCCACACUGACGCUGAGGCACGAAAGCGUGGGUAUCGAACAGGAUUAGAUACCCUGGUAGUCCACGCAGUAAACG
rnacentral:rRNA from 1 species